rnacentral:rRNA from 1 species
CCUACGGGUGGCAGCAGUGGGGAAUAUUGCACAAUGGGCGAAAGCCUGAUGCAGCAACGCCGCGUGAAGGAAGAAGGCCUUCGGGUCGUAAACUUCUGUCCUUGGGGAAGAAGAACUGACGGUACCCAAGGAGGAAGCCCCGGCUAACUACGUGCCAGCAGCCGCGGUAAUACGUAGGGGGCAAGCGUUAUCCGGAUUUAUUGGGUUUAAAGGGUGCGUAGGCGGAAUAUCAAGUCAGCGGUAAAAAUUCGGGGCUCAACCCCGUCGUGCCGUUGAAACUGAUGUUCUUGAGUGGGCGAGAAGUAUGCGGAAUGCGUGGUGUAGCGGUGAAAUGCAUAGAUAUCACGCAGAACUCCGAUUGCGAAGGCAGCAUACCGGCGCCCAACUGACGCUGAAGCACGAAAGCGUGGGUAUCGAACAGGAUUAGAUACCCUAGUAGUC